CUGAGCGACUCGUUUCGUGUCGAGCUGCCCCUAUACCUCUCUCUCAGCGCGAGGCCGACCCGGCGGCAGCCCCAUUAGGUCGUUCUGCUCUCCAACAUAACCCGAGCUCACCGCCUAAUAGACCCAGGCAGGCCUGCCGCCGGCUCUUCCUCCUCCUCCACCCCCGUCGGUAAUCACAAGCUGUAAUGGAGAGACGAGAUGUAAAAAAGCGUCGAUGUCAGCAGCACAUCGGUGGUUAAUGAUCUAUUAAGUGAUCUGCGUGCUUAUGGACAGCGUAAAAAGUGUUGAUGCUUGCUUAUUUGGCCCUAAUGAGAGUCCCAUCCUACGGAUUUUAGGAAUGAAUAACCCAAAUAAAAUCACCUUAAAAUUUAACAGUUGGCGCAGGGAGGCUGGAGAGGCUGCAGAGCUUCCCACAGCUCACAUCUCACACGUGCACCGGACGCCGGUGUCACGCAGCAGACCCGUGCUCCGUCCGUGGACCGGACCGGAUCCAGGACCUAUUGCCGCACCCGCCUUUUGGAUCUUAAUUAAAACUUUAUUUUGUCACAGAACCCAGCUGGUUUGAGGAAUACUUUUUCCCCCUAACUUCACUCAGUCGGGUUGUAUCCCUUUAACAAAGUUGUUCUUCAUUUCUCUUUUGACCGGUGGAGAUGAUGAAUAUCUCCUCUGAGCCGUCCGGCAUAUGUUACAGGAUGGUACCGGUGCUCCGAAGGCCCGCGUCAGAGUGGAUCAGGGAUGGAGAUGGAAAGACGCUCCUUUUCCGAAGGGCAGCUUUGAUGCGCUUUUAACGGAGAGCUGCGCAAAGGCUUUAAAAAGCUUCCAACAUAUGGUUCUGCGUAUGCUGAAUUAAGUUUCAUUCUGUAUUUAAAGCUGAAUUAAACAAGAAGCCAAUAGUUAAAUAGGAUGUUAUCACGCGCUGUUCCAUCGAUUGAUGUUUAAUAUUUUGUCAAAAGAGUGAAAGCUGCUCCAUUAUGCCAUACUACACACUGCACCAGGUGUUGAAUUCAAGUUACUGAAUUAUAUUUUAAUAUAGAAUAUUAAAAAUGUCGGUUAUUUGUCUAAAAUCUCAACUUUGUGGGCAUGGACGCGUCAAUAAUCUGCAUUCUUGUAUGAGUUACUCGGCAGCGAUUCUUGUUUACUCGAGUCUGAUCGAUUAACUCUUUAGAAACAUGAAUUAUUAAAACUCAGUAAACAGCCAACCUUUCAUGAAGGCCAACACUCUCAGAGAUAGAUGACUAGAGUUGUUUUUUGUUCUUCUACCUGGAAAACAUCUGAAGGCUUGUUUUGGAUUAUUUCCCGGUGUUGCAGCAGGAGUCUCACUCACUCUGGAAGACAAGCUGCUACUUGAAGACAUGACCUCACCGCUGUUAAGCCCCACAGUGAUGCUCCGCUGUCUAAUUUAUCAAACGGAUGGUCAGAAACCAACUCGACUACAUCCACAUACUGGCAGCUGCCUUCCCUGCAGCGUGCCUCAGGAGGCUCGGAGUAAUUUGAAAUCCAAGAGGCACUUCCACAACUUCCAUGUUGCCAUGUUCUCAGUGUAGUUUCCAGUAAUUACUGCAGGUUAAGUGCACGUCCCGGACCUCAGUGGAGGCAGCUCUAUCCCUCACCUGGGACAUGACUCAGCACAGUUCAGGUCAUCCGGCCAUUUCCCUGACCACUGGACCACACCCCAACCUACUUUAAACCCACAGGACAAGCCCUGUUUAUGAACAACUUGCAUUUACUUCCAUCACGUAAUGUAAUGAUAGUUUUAUUUACUGGCUGGACUGUUUGCAGGAAGAUGGCCUCACAUCAAUGCAGACCCGUUUUACAGAGGUUUGCAUCAUUACGGGUUGCUAUCAUUGUAUUCUAGUUUAGUAUAAGGUACUUUCUCAGUGAGGCUAUAGUGUUAGAUUUAUCUGCAUCAGAACCUUAGCUUGUCUUUUCUCUCAUCUGAUUUGUCUGGUGCUCCUGCUGGAGUAACUACAUGUCCCAAGGGUCCAGAUGCUCCAACAGGAUGUUUACACACACAAAUACUUCAAUAAUAGACUUGAUUUUCACAAACUUCUAUACAGGAACCUCCUACCCCCUAAUAUUCAUUUCGUAAUUAAUUAGAAGUUUAUCUGUUUGUAAAAGUAUCCGUAGACUGUCCAUCUAUUCACAGUGGAGGUUUAGUACUUUGUGUAACUCUUCUAUAGUUCCAGUUUUUAAUUGUUUUAAUUUUUACAUAUUCCUUCUUAGAAACCAGAUGUUCUUGGUGGGUCUUAAUGGGUUUUUAUGUCUUUUUGAUGGUUUUUCAAGUGUUUGUUAUUUAUUGUUAUUUACCUGUUUUUUCACCAAUUUCCAGUCCAGUACCAUAGAUGAUUAUUUCUAUGAUUGUCAAGUCACUUUAUUUUGACCUAUGAACCAGUUCAGAUGUACAAAACUUGGCAAAAAACAGUUAUAAAGUUGUAUUAGUACUAUUCCAAACUAUACUAUACUAUACUAUACUAUACUAUACUAUACUAUACUAUACCAUAUUUGUUACAGUUUUUUUGUAGCAGGAUCAAUGAAAAUCCAGUAGAUAAUUAAGUAUGUGAGUAAGUAAUUCAGUUUUAUUUAUAUAGAACUCAUCACAGACAGAGAAUCACAAAGUGCUUCACAGAGUUCAACAAAAAAAUGAAGUAAUAAAAUAAUAAUUAUCUUAAAAACAAAAUAUUAAGUAAAAUAAAAAUUUAAUCAGAAAACACAAAGUCAUGAAUUAAUUAAAUGAUCAUAAAUAUCAUAAAACUAAUGAAAGAUGAUUAUAAAUUUGCAUUAAAAAAAACAUGCAAAAGAUUUAAGUAAAAGCAGAUCUUCAGCUGCAUUUUUAAAGUGUCCAGACUGUCAAUACUACGUAAGGAUAAAGGAAGAUCAUUCUAAAGUCGGGGUGCAACAGUGUGGAAGGAGGCAAUCACCUCAACCAAAUUGGUCUUUGGAACUUCUAGAAGGUUCUGGUCUGUGGAAUUGAGGGCUCCGUUUGGAGCAUAAGGCUUUGACACUUCAGUAAUAAAGGGAGGAGCUUGACCAUGUAGAGCAUUGAAAGUUAUAGUCAGGAUUCUAAAAUGAAUUCUAAAGUUAACGGGUAACCAGUGCAGAGACAUCAGAAUAGGAGUGAUGUGUGUGUUCUUCAGGUAGAAGCCUCGCUGCAGCGUUUUGUACCAACUGAAGGCGGUCAAGGGCUUUUUUGUUAAAACAUGUGAAAAGUGUGUUACAGUAAUCAAGACAGGAGGGGAUAAAGGCAUGGAUGACCAUUUAAAGUUCAUGUUUUGACACCAACCUUCACAAUUUGUUUAUAUUUAUUUAGUGAUAAAAAUAGUUUCAGACCAGCUUUUUGAGUGGCCUUCAAGAGACAUUGAUUGGUCUAAAACAACACCCAGUUUCCUCACAUUUGACUUGACAGCAGAAGAUAAAUGACCAAGUUGUUGACUAAUCAGAGGAACCAUGCUCACAGGGGCAAUGAUCAGACACUCAUUCUUUUCAGAGUUUAACUGAAGGAAGUUAUCUUCUAGCCAGCUGGAGAUAGUUGAUAGACAUUCUAGCAGUGUCUAAGCUAUCUAGACAGAGGGGUAGAAACAUUGUUGUUUAUCACAAACAAGCCCAUCUCCACCUCUGAUAUAUUUAAAUUUCUUGGCACUCACGUCUGCAAUAACCUUAAAAGGAAAACAAAUGCAGAACAUAGCCACAAGGAAGCUCAACAAAGGCUUUUCCAUCUCUGGCAAUUGAAGAAGUUUAAAGUACGUCCUCGUCUUUUACGCCAGUUCUACACAGCUGUCAUUGAAAGCAUUCUUACCUCAUCCAUUACGGUACAGUGCACUUGAUAAACUCUCCAGGAAAAUAACUAGAACAAAUCAUCACCAGAGCAUCUAAACUAACUGGAACUCCUCUCCCUUCCCUGGAUCUGCUUCACCAAAAAGAACACUACAAUGUGCACAGGAUUCUUUCUGACACCUCUCAUCCUGCAUGCUCUGCUUUUCAGCUACUGUCCUCUGGUAGACGAUAUAGGUCAAUUGCUUCAAGAACAACCCAGUUUAAGAACAGUUUCAUUCCUACUGCCAUAAUGACUCUAAAUUAUGAGGGUCGCUAGGCUGCUCUGAUCCUCCACAGUUAUUUGUUGUUGCUUCUCUGUUCUAUGUGUGUAAGGGGAUGAAACUGAUGGAACCUGCUUUGUCCAAACUAUGUACUGGGAAAAAAAUCCACCAGUUUGCUGUGUGGUCAUUAAAGUAAUCUAAUCUAAUCUAAUCUAAUCUAAUCUAAUCUAAUCUAAUCUAAUCUAAUCUAAUCUGGUCUAAUCUAGUCUAAUCUAAUCUAAUCUAAUCUAAUCUAAUCUAAUCUAAUCUAAUCUAAUCUGGUCUAAUCUAGUCUAAUCUAAUCUAAUCUAAUCUAAUCUAAUCUAAUCUAGUCUAAUCUAAUCUAAUCUAAUCUAAUCUAAUCUAAUAUCUAAUCUGAUCUAAUAUCUAAUCUAAUCUAAUCUAAUCUAAUCUAAUCUAAUCU